AGCAGCCGCGGUAAUUCCAGCUCCAAUAGCGUAUAUUAAAGUUGCUGCAGUUAAAAAGCUCGUAGUUGAAUUUCGGGAUCGAUAUAUCGGUCGUGCCUCGGUACGUACUGGUAUUUUCGGUUUCUACCUUCUGACGAACCUUGAUGUCAUUAAUUUGGUGUCUUGGGGAAUCAGGACUGUUACUUUGAAAAAAUUAGAGUGUUUAAAGCAGGCUCACGCUUGAAUACAUUAGCAUGGAAUAAUGAAAUAGGACGUUUGAUUCUAUUUUGUUGGUUUCUAGGAUCGACGUAAUGAUUAAUAGGGAUAGUUGGGGGCAUUAGUAUUCAAUUGUCAGAGGUGAAAUUCUUGGAUUUAUUGAAGACUAACUACUGCGAAAGCAUUUGCCAAGGAUGUUUUCAUUAAUCAAGAACGAAAGUUAGGGGAUCGAAGACGAUCAGAUACCGUUGUAGUCUUAACCAUAAACUAUGCCGACUAGGGAUCGGAUGAUGUAAUUUUUAAUGACUCAUUCGGCGCCUUACGG
rnacentral:rRNA from 1 species